UACGGAGGGUGCAAGCAUUGAUCGGAAUUACUGGGCGUCAAGGGCGCGUAGGCGGUUCAAAAAGUCGGAUGUGAAAUUCCGGGGCUCAACCCCGGAGCUGCAUUUGAAACGUUUGAACUUGAGUUCAGUUAGGGUAAACGGAAUUCCACGUGUAGCGGUGAAAUGCGUAGAUAUGUGGAAGAACACCGAUGGUGAAGACGGUUUACUGGGCUGAUACUGACGCUGAGGCGCGAAAGCAUGGGGAGCAAACAGG
rnacentral:rRNA from 1 species